UGUUGAGAUAUUACAGGGUUUUAGUAGUUAUUGAUAUAUUACAGGUCAGGGUUUUAGUAGGUAUUGAGAUAUUACAGGUUUUAGUAGUUAUUGAGAUAUUACAGGGUUUUAGUGGUUAUUGAGAUAUUACAGGUCAGGGUUUUAGUAGUUAUUGAGAUAUUACAGGUCAGGGUUUUAGUAGUUAUUGAGAUAUUACAGGGUUUUAGUAGAAAUUGAGAUAUUACAGGGUUUUAGUAGUUAUUCAGAUAUUACAGGGUUUAAGUAGUUCUUGAGAUAUUACAGGGUUUUAGUAGUUAUUGAUAUAUUACAGGUCAGGGUUUUAGUAGUUAUUGAGAUAUUACAGGGUUUUAGUAGUUAUAGAGAUAUUACAGGGGUUUAGUAGUUAUUGAAAUAUUACAGGGUUUUAGUAGUUAUUGAUAUAUUACAGGUCAGAGUUUUAGUAGUUAUUGAGAUAUUACAGGUCAGGGUUUUAGUAGUUAUUGAGAUAUUACAGGGUUUUAGUAGAAAUUGAGAUAUUACAGGGUUUUAGUAGUUAUUCAGAUAUUACAGGGUUUAAGUAGUUAUUGAGAUAUUACAGGGUUUUAGUAGUUAUUGAUAUAUUACAGGUCAGGGUUUUAGUAGGUAUUGAGAUAUUACAGGUUUUAGUAGUUAUUGAGAUAUUACAGGGUUUUAGUAGUUAUUGAGAUAUUACAGGUCAGGGUUUUAGUAGUUAUUGAGAUAUUACAGGGUU
rnacentral:lncRNA from 1 species